UUGCAAUUAAUGUGCGUCAUAGCCAUUGUGUAGACGUGUGGAAUUGGUGGGUGGCGAUUGUUGUUGUUGCUUGUAAACGAAAGAAUACGUGAAGUUAUUGGAGCUGCCUAUUGAAGACAAGACGGGAAUCAGAUUGGUUUCGUUGGCUUUUAACUCUGUUGAUUCGUAGCAAUUGGAUCAAAUCACUUUCAGCCUUCAAGAAAGCAUCAUUUUCUUUUCUAGAUUACUACAGUAUUUCUUUAAGUCACUCAGCGCAAGUGGAACUAAAAAUAAUCGUAAAUUCAGCUCAAACGUGACUCGACAACGACGACAUCUUGACGCGGCGUGGGAUAUUAAACAAAGCGAAGAUCUUUUUAUUUGAUAUAUAUAUGAAGCGUAAAAUGUGUCAGAGUCAAAUCAAACGAACUCCUGAUGAGCAUUUAUCUGAGACGGACAUGAUGUUAUUCUUAGAGUCGGCUAUAAACAAGAAACGCGCGGUGAAGCGACGUCGGCCAGACAUGUACAGAGAAGCUUUGCUUCAACAAACAGUUCAGAGACUAAACGAUGAAAUUAUUGAACGUUCGAGGCGGAGAACGAAGAAAAGAAAAUUUGUAGAGAAGUAUGAAUGGCAAAGAGGUCCCAACGGUUGGUUAAUGUCAGAUAAGCAAGACAACGAAGAGAUCGAUAAUUUACUAGGUUUUCCAAAGAAGCUUGUCAGAAUAAUAUCCCAAGUGAAUAUUUAGCUUUUUGACUAUCUUCAAGACAUUUUGAUUUCUCAUACAGGUGCCUUCAUAUUGGCAUCAUGUAAGUGGUGGAUCCCAUUGGGAGUUGGGAUGUGUGAGUUAAUGUGAUCCUCAUUGAUCAUACACAUGGUAUGUAUGUUAGUUUUAGCCUUGAAUUUCGUUGCUGGCAGUAGAAUUGAUAGGCUUCUAUAGUUUAAUGUUGUAAUGAAAUAAUUAGCAAUAUGGUGAGGUAUGAUCGUUAAAAUGAAAGCAAGGAAUCAAAAAAAAUUUCAUUUAAUGAAAUCUUUUUAGGAAGUAAAGUUCUUAUGGCAAAA